AGAACACUUCAGAAUUUCUUUAGGAUGAUCCUGAUAACAUUUGAACACUUUCUCAGAACUAUUUUUGCAUGGUUGGACAGUAUCAUGAAUAUUUACCCCUUUUUUACCUACAAAAAGAGAUAAUAAAAGGCAAAACAUUAAGAGUGGUCAACACAAAACUAAUUGAAUUAUGAACAUCGUACGGAGUAUUCAUAUUUUACAAAAGAAAGUGGCAAAUUUAUAUAUACCAUCAAUAUAUAAUUGUUCCGCUGCUUUUUUAUAUUCUGCGUUAAUGAUUUCAUUAAUUUCUGAAUGUUUUUGUUCCAAUUUCUGCAAACGUUGUUGCCAAUAAUUAUCCUGUUUACGAAAUUCUUGUUCAUUCUGUUGCUGUAUUUGAAGAGCGGUUAAAGUUAAUUGUGGAUGAUAU